AAUUUUGGACAAUGGGGGAAACCCUGAUCCAGCCAUCCCGCGUGUAUGAUGAAGGCCUNCGGGUUNUNAAGUACUUUUGGCAGAGNCGAAAAGGUACCUCCUAAUACGAGGUACGGCUGACGGUAUCUGCAGAAUAAGCACCGGCUAACUACGUUCCAGCAGCCGCGGUACUACGUAGGGUGCAAGCGUUAAGCGGAAUUACUGGUCGUAAAGCGUGUGUAGGCGGUUCGGAAAGAAAGAUGUGAAGUCACAGGGCUCAACCUUGGAACUGCAUUUUUAACUGCCGUGCUAGAGUAUGGCAGAGGGGGGUAGAAUUCCACGUGUAGCAGUGAAAUGCGUAGAUAUGUGGAGGAAUACCGAUGGCGAAGGCAGCCCCCUGGGAUAAUACUGACGCUCAGACACGAAAGCAUGGGGAGCAAACAG
rnacentral:rRNA from 1 species